AUGAACGCUGGCGGCGUGCCUAAUACCUGCAAGUCGAGCGAACAGACGAGGAGCUUGCUCCUCUGACGUUAGCGGCGGACGGGUGAGUAACACGUGGAUAACCUACCUAUAAGACUGGGAUAACUUCGGGAAACCGGAGCUAAUACCGGAUAAUAUAUUGAACCGCAUGGUUCAAUAGUGAAAGACGGUUUUGCUGUCACUUAUAGAUGGAUCCGCGCCGCAUUAGCUAGUUGGUAAGGUAACGGCUUACCAAGGCAACGAUGCGUAGCCGACCUGAGAGGGUGAUCGGCCACACUGGAACUGAGACACGGUCCAGACUCCUACGGGAGGCAGCAGUAGGGAAUCUUCCGCAAUGGGCGAAAGCCUGACGGAGCAACGCCGCGUGAGUGAUGAAGGUCUUCGGAUCGUAAAACUCUGUUAUUAGGGAAGAACAAAUGUGUAAGUAACUAUGUACGUCUUGACGGUACCUAAUCAGAAAGCCACGGCUAACUACGUG
rnacentral:rRNA from 1 species